AAGAAGACUUCCAGAACCGCUAACUCUGAACCACUGAGCCUAGAACCUCAGACUUCUU
rnacentral:tRNA from 1 species